UCUUCUUCUUCUUAUCCUCGACUGUUAUUUCUCUCUCUUCUACACAGAGAGAUUCACCACCUCUCUAUCACCAAAUAGUAGAAGAGAGAUUCACCAGCGCUCCAUUACCAGAUUCAUCUCAACCCUCUUCUUCUUCUUCUUUGAAUCUACUAAUUAAGCACCAAACAACCAAGCAAGAUUCAUUGUUUUCUAAUUGAUUUUUUGAGUACUGUAAUUGUAGCAAGUCUUCAUCUUUUUAUAGGUUUCUUAAUGAGUUUUUGAAGUGGAUUAAAGGUUAAUUGUUUAUGAUUGUGUGUUUUUUUUUGGAUUUUGGUUAGAAGGCGUGUGAAGGAAUCAACAAUUAUAGCAGGCUAGCAGCAGAACCAGAUACGGUGUUCAAAUCAGAUGUUAAUGGUUGAAAAUACUCAAAACUGUGAAAAAUCAAGAGAAAGAUGAACAGGUUUUGAGAUUUCAACCUGGACACAAGUACUGCUUGUUGGAAGACUACCAUCAAGGUACUAUUAAACCUAUGGAAAACACAACAACACUACUUUGGUAGGCAUCGUCAAACUAGGGCUGUAGUAUGGGAUCACUACGAUAGGGAAGAGCCACCUUCAAAACAUUCUUUGUGACAGGAUUGUAGCAUAAGAUUCCGUGCUGAUCCUAUGAAGAAUGGGACCGUUGGUUUGAUUUCCCAUCUAAAGAGAUGCAUAUUCUUCAGAAGGAACAACCAGUUAUGAACUUAUGGUGUUUAAAUUUUUCUUUUUUCAUUAAAGAGAAACUAGACUCUUUGCAAUUUAGUUGUUUUGUUAAUGUGUGUUGGAAGAACAUAUAAUGUGUUUAAAAUUCUGUGAAAAUAACAAUUUUAUGACAGGUUUGGAAAAAGUUGUCUG